rnacentral:rRNA from 1 species
GCGGUGGAGCAUGUGGUUUAAUUCGAUGAUACGCGAGGAACCUUACCUGGGCUCAAAUGUAUGUUGACGUAUUCUGAAAGGGAUACUUCUUCGGACAAUAUACAAGGUGCUGCAUGGUUGUCGUCAGCUCGUGCCGUGAGGUGUCGGGCUAAGUCCCGCAACGAGCGCAACCCCUGCUAUCUGUUGCCAGCAAGUAAUGCUGGGGACUCUAAAGGAACUGCCUACGCAAGUAGUGAGGAAGGCGGGGAUGACGUCAAAUCAGCACGGCCCUUACGUCCAGGGCUACACACGUGCUACAAUGGCCGAUACAGAGGGCAGCUACCUGGUGACAGGAUGCAAAUCUCCAAAGUCGGUCUCAGUUCGGAUCGGAGUCUGCAACCCGACUCCGUGAAGUUGGAUUCGCUAGUAAUCGCGCAUCAGCCAUGGCGCGGUGAAUACGUUCCCGGCCUU